UGCUUUGGGGCCAGUGUGAAGUAAGAUGAGAAUGACUGGUUUCAAGAGAUCCUCCAGCCUCAGCCUCCUGAGUAGCUGCUACAUAGGCCUAAUUUUCUGUUUUUCAUGGAGAUGGGAGCUGUGUUGCUCAGGCUAGUCUUUAUCCCUGGCCUCCAGUGGUCUUCCUACCUCGACCUCCAAGAAUUACAGAGUUCCAGGGAAGAGAACUGUGUGUUCCCAGUCUCUGAAAGAGCCAUCACCAUAACUACUUCUGAGAUGGGUCAGGGACCAAAGACAUCUUAGAGACAGCAGCUAUACAGUGACAAAGUGUCUCCGGAUGUGCAUUUGACCCAAGAGCCACAAAGCUGACAGAUACUCAGAGAGUUUGUUGACUGAGUUCAAAUGGUGGUUCUCUCUUGAGAUUCCUCAUGGCAGUGGUCACAUGUCAUCUGGAGACUUCACUGACCUGGACGUCUACAAUGGCUCACUUGCAUGGAUGUUAGUUGAUGCUAACUGCUGGCUGCCAGCUAAACUGAUGAAGUGGACCAGAAUCCUACAUAAAAUAUCUCUAUGUGAAAGUUUAAUACAAUGGUGGUUUCCUACAGGACCUCCCUAAGACCUUUUAUACACAGGAAUUCUGAAUGAAGGAAGCAAGUAAAUAAAUUUUUCCCUAAUGUGGAAUAAUCUACAGGAAAUGGUUCUGUCCUGAGCCAAGGGAAGGCAGAGGAAAUGAUUUCUGCAUCAGCUAAGGAAUAAACUCUGAUUCACUGCCAACUGCCAGCAUUGCAGCGACACUACGUGGGCUAACGUUCACCUUGGAAGAAAUUGUCCCAUCAGUGGUGGAAAAUAAAGAUGCUAAGCAAUAGAUUUCUCAGUUUAAGAGCUAAAGUUUAAGAUAUGUGAAUACUUGAUGACCCAAGACCUCACUGGUACAUCUGAAGCUUCAGUGGAGCACAGAUGUAGCUUCUGGCUGGAGAACUCAGUAGUGCAAGAGGAGAGAUUCUUGACCCCAUUGGGAUGUGCUCACAUGGAGUGUACACAUGGACGUCUCCGCUUAUGGCUGAGCUUCCUUAGGUUAACCUGUUCAAGAUUUUAAAUAUAUCCCAAUAAUUUUUAAAAAGCAAACAUUUAUGUAAGUAGUAAGCAAUAUUUUAUUGAUUGAUAAUACAGAUAAUACUUGCAAGCAAUAACUGUUGUCUAAAGUGCUCCUUUGAAAGCUUCUGCCAUUCCUCAGUCUCUUUUCUUACCGAUGGUUUCAUCUCACAGGUUCUUCCCCUGUUCUCUCCAAAACGUCUGUCACUGACACUGCUGUGCUCUUACAUUUCUUCAGCUACUCCCCUUUGACUAGCGAGGUUUCACAAAAUAAAAAGACUGUUCUUUUUAUCACA